rnacentral:rRNA from 1 species
UACAGAGGGUGCAAGCGUUAAUCGGAAUUACUGGGCGUAAAGCGUGCGUAGACGGUCAUGUAAGUCGGGUGUGAAAGCCCCCGGGCUCAACCUGGGAAUUGCAUUCGAGACUGCAUGGCUAGGGUGCGGAAGAGGGAAGCGGAAUUUCCGGUGUAGCGGUGAAAUGCGUAGAUAUCGGAAGGAACACCAGUGGCGAAAGCGGCUUCCUGGUCCAGCACCGACGUUCAGGCACGAAAGCGUGGGGAGCAAACAGG